rnacentral:rRNA from 1 species
UACGUAGGGGGCGAGCGUUGUCCGGAAUCAUUGGGCGUAAAGAGCGUGUAGGCGGCUUGGCAAGUCUGACGUGAAAGCCCGCGGCUCAACCGCGGAUUGUCGUUGGAAACUGCCUCGCUAGAGUCCGGAAGAGGAGAGCGGAAUUCCUGGUGUAGCGGUGGAAUGCGCAGAUAUCAGGAAGAACACCCGUGGCGAAGGCGGCUCUCUGGGACGGUACUGACGCUGAGACGCGAAAGCCAGGGGAGCAAACGGG